rnacentral:RNase_P_RNA from 1 species
CCAGUUGGUCGGAUGGCCGCCCUUGUCUUAAUUAGCAGGGGAGGAAAGUCCGGACUUCACGGAAAUACGGUGCCGGGUAAUCCCCGGGCAGGGUAACCUGACGGAAAGUGCAACAGAAAACAAACCGCCGAACCUUCGGGCUUCGGUAAGGAUGAAACGGUGCGGUAAGAGCGCACCACUCGUCUGGUAACAGACAGGUAUGGCAAACCCCACCGGAAGCAAGACCAAAUAGGGAUCGCG